UCUCCUACGGGAGGCAGCAGUAGGGAAUCUUCCACAAUGGGCGAAAGCCUGAUGGAGCAACGCCGCGUGUGUGAUGAAGGGUUUCGGCUCGUAAAACACUGUUGUAAGAGAAGAAUGACAUUGAGAGUAACUGUUCAAUGUGUGACGGUAUCUUACCAGAAAGGAACGGCUAAAUACGUGCCAGCAGCCGCGGUAAUACGUAUGUUCCAAGCGUUAUCCGGAUUUAUUGGGCGUAAAGCGAGCGCAGACGGUUAUUUAAGUUCUGAAGUGAAACCCUCAGCUCAACUGAGGAAUUGCUUGGAAACUGGAUGACUUGAGUGCAGAGAG
rnacentral:rRNA from 1 species